AGUAAUUUUUUACCCUCUUAAGCCACGUUAUGUCAGAAAUUGCUAUGCAUGGCAUGAAGAAUAAAAUCACAUUGUGUUAUUGUGUUGCUUUUUAAGUGAUUGCAAACAAUCACUUAAAAAGAGGUAACAUUUUUAACAGAUCAAAUUAACGAGGGGAAUUAAUAGGCUCCUAAUUAGGUUGCUGAACUCAUGUGUUUAAGUGCAUAAUAUUUCCCUUAAACUAAUUAGCACAAUACAGGUAUGACUCAUUAUCAUUUUCUUUGUUUUUGUAUUCUUCGUUAUCUAUCAAAUGAUUAGAUUUAAUGGCCAGGUGUCCACACUUUCCCCAAUUAGGAAUCUGUUGAUUUGCCUCUUUAUUUUAGUCUUUAUUUUGAUUAGUUAAAAAGUUUUUUUAACCUCUUUACGUAAUCGUCUACAGUAUAGCACAAUGUGAAUAUGGGACUUUUAUUCUUUAUGUCAUGCAUAGCUAUUUCUGACACAAGGUGGCUUAAGUGGGCAAAUAAUUCCACUGACAUGAGAAGCACCUAAUUAAGGAAAAAAGCUUGUUACAAUUCCGGGAUUGCAAUUGUGGUUGGAACAAAAACCAGCACACACAGUGGGCCCCCAGGACCGAGGUGGAAAACCACUGUUCUAAUGGAAGGGUCUGAUAGAGCUUGCUGAGAUGUGCUGUGUUUGAUCCGUAACACAUAACUGAAGUUUUAUUUAUUUAUUUAUUUAUUUAUCCAUCCAACAAAGGAGAUAUGCUUAUUUCCUGUUUGGGUAAGAAGUUGCAAAAGAGGGAUGCCCUUCAGCAGUGUUCUGUACCAUGCAGUAACACUCAAAUCUGAGCAAGUUGCAGCAAUUCAAGUUGAAAUGAGGUUCCACUAGAACUGAGAACAUUUGAAAGGACAAAAGUGAUUUUUACAGCAACAAAAACUGGGACAAAAUCAACAUUACUGUUCAUGAGCAAAAGCUUUUAAGUAAAAAUAUAGGGAAACUGGACGCGACAAGACCAGAGACAUCCUGGCUCUGUUUAUCUUUCUUCUCCAAGUGAAAGCAGUGAGAACAUGGCUGCGGACUGUGAAAUCACUUGGAGAAGUGCCGCCCAGUGGUGCAGAUGUGUCCAAAGGCUCUGUAAUUAAAAGGAAUUACACGUUUUUUUCAUCCCCUUCAGGAGAAGUUUGAUAACAAGCAUGAUGUGUAAUUCCUUCGACAGUUGUGGGAAUUCAAGCUGUUUGAACAGCUGGGUCUAUGAUUCAUUGUUUAACAUCUUGGCUCAGACCCCUCCCCAUCCCACUAUUUUCUAUAGAUGCAUCCUUCCUUUACCACAUUCUUGCACAUAGCUUUUGCUUUGUUUCUCAUGUUACGUGCCAGGUUUGUCUUUUUUCUGUCGGACUCAUUAUCCCGUGAGGUCUGUUACGGAUCACUCCGCCAUUGGUGAAGAAGAAGGAAGAGUGCGCCGUUUCCCCCCAA